GCAUCUCCAUCUCUAUGGCAGGGAGGAGCGGGACGGGGAAGGGAAGGGCGGGGCCGGCGGCCCCUCCUUGGCGCGCGGCCAGGGGCUGCUCUGGGCGCUUUCCCAGCAGGGGCCGCGGGGCAGCCCCAGGGAUUCCCAGCAGGGGAGACACGGGUCGGGGUGUAAACGUGUAGCCCUUGGUACGGUUUCAAAGGAGACUUCGCCCCUGUAACCAAGCGCAGUGGGUGCAAAGCGGGUGCGGUCACCGCCCUAGGGUGAUCUCAGAUGUCCCGAUUUUAUAGGGACAGCCCUAUAUGGGCCUUUUUCUUAUACAGGCGCCUAUUGCUCCCCAUCCCGUCCCGAUUUUUCACACUUUCUGCCUAGUCAACCUAGACCGACCUGUGCUCCGCCAGUCAUACACACGCAGUUGUGUCUACAGGGGGAAGUGUUACAGAUUAUAGACUAACAAAUACUGGUGUAGUGCCACCCCCACCACUCCCAUGUGAGCGCUCUUACUCCCGAGCAAGGGUGUCUUUUCAACUCCGUUUAUGUCAGUUUGGAAGCAUUAAAACAACAGCAAAAAGCCACAAUGAAAGUGUCCUGCCUAUCCUAAAUUCUCAAUUACUGAGGGACAAUCUUCACUCUUUGAUAUAUUUUGCUUUUUGCCACCAACUCUCUGUAUAACGUUUUUCAUGAGUAAUGUAUCUGAAUGCAUGGAUGCUAAACAUCUAAACUGUAUUCUUAAAUUCAUUCACCUAAAUUUGGGUUAUUGCUGAUUAUGCACUAUAUGUAUCUUAUGACUUUAAAAACAAACUUUGUCGUUGUGGAUAAUCUAAGUAGUAUAUCCAGAUGUACAGACACUCUUUUCUUAACUUAUGUAUUAUAUAAUUUUUUUAACAUUAGCUUUAAUAAAAUGUAUAAAUAUG